rnacentral:rRNA from 1 species
CCUACGGGAGGCAGCAGUGAGGAAUAUUGGUCAAUGGACGAGAGUCUGAACCAGCCACGUAGCGUGAAGGAUGAAGGAUCUAUGGUUUGUAAACUUCUUUUAUAUGGGAAUAAAGUGAGGAACGUGUUCCUUUUUGUAUGUACCAUAUGAAUAAGCAUCGGCUAACUCCGUGCCAGCAGCCGCGGUAAUACGGAGGAUGCGAGCGUUAUCCGGAUUUAUUGGGUUUAAAGGGUGCGUAGGGGGUUAAUUAAGUCAGCGGUGAAAGUUUGUGGCUUAACCAUAAAAUUGCCGUUGAAACUGGUUGACUUGAGUAUAUUUGAGGUAGGCGGAAUGCGUGGUGUAGCGGUGAAAUGCAUAGAUAUCACGCAGAACUCCGAUUGCGAAGGCAGCUUACUAAACUAUAACUGACACUGAAGCACGAAAGCGUGGGGAUCAAACAGGAUUAGAUACCCUUGUAGUC